AAGACCUUGCACUUUUGGAGCGGCCGAUGUCUGAUUAGCUAGUUGGUGGGGUAAUGGCCUACCAAAGCUUCGAUCAGUAGCUGGUCUGAGAGGACGGCCAGCCACACUGGGACUGAGACACGGCCCAGACUCCUACGGGAGGCAGCAGUGGGGAAUUUUGGACAAUGGGCGCAAGCCUGAUCCAGCCAUGCCGCGUGAGUGAAGAAGGCCUUCGGGUUGUAAAGCUCUUUCAGCCGGGAAGAAAAGGAUGCGACUAAUAAUCGCAAUUCAUGACGGUACCGAAAGAAGAAGCACCGGCUAACUACGUGCCAGCAGCCGCGGUAAUACGUAGGGUGCGAGCGUUAAUCGGAAUUACUGGGCGUAAAGGGUGCGCAGGCGGUUUUGUAAGUCAGAUGUGAAAUCCCCGGGCUUAACCUGGGAACU
rnacentral:rRNA from 1 species